AGAGAGAGUAGAGAGAAUGAAUCAAAUCACUUGGCAAUUGAACUUUAUUUGGAGGCUUGGUUUUCAAGGAUCGAGGAUUCCUUGGAAGUGGGAAUUUAAAUGGAGAGAGGAGAGAGGAGGAAUCAAAUCACGUGGCAAGGAAACUUUAUUUGGAGGCUUAGUUUUCAAGGAUUGAACAAGAUUCUUUGGCCGUGGAACUUUAAAUGGAGAGAGGAGAGAGAAUGAAUCAAAUCACUUGCAAUGGAACUUUAUUUGGAGGUUUGGUUUUCAAUGAUCGAACUAGAUUCUUUGGCGGUGGAACUUUAAAUGGAGAGAGCAGAGUGAAGCAAACAAAUCACUUGGUAGUGGAACUUUAUUUGGAGGCUUGGUUUUCAAGGAUCACAAGAUUCUUUGGCAGUGGAAUUUUAAAUGAAGAGAGUUGAGAGAAGGAAUCACGCUUGAGACCUCAAGCAUGAUUCUUUCACACACAUCAUCUUCUAAGAACAUUAUCUUGAAACAAGAAGGAUACUUUUAUGAUCUUUUUUCAAUUCCAUGUUAUUUCUUUAUUUAAAAUGAAUAGAAGAAUGAUACUUCCAUAAUCCUUCACUUGUAGCUAAGAUGUGCAGAGUGUGAAGUGUAUAUAGAAUAUGUGGAACUAGAAAAUGUAAAGUGUAUAGUGAGAGUGUGGGGUGUGAGGGUAGUAUGGGAAGUGUGUGGGGUGUAUUACGAUAAAUUUUAAUUAAAAAAGCAAAUGUGGGUGUAUUAAGUAUGUAUGAUGUAUUCAACAAAGUGGGGUGUUAAUAUAACUUUAUUCUAUUUGAAUCGCGAUGUACUAAAUGUGUCAUGUCUUUUAUUUUUUGAGAUUUGUAGUGUCGCUGUGUUCGUCGUAUUCAUGUCCGUAUCCAUGCGUGAGAGUCUAAAUAAAAGUUUUAAUCCUAGGGGGUAUAUUUGGAAGAAUGGAUUUGGAAGCAUAUAUUUGGAAGAAUAGAUAUGCAAGCAUAUAUUUGGAAGAAUAGAUGCAAGAAUUAAGCCUCCAAGUCCAAAUAAAGUUCCACACUUCCACUGCCGUGUGAUUCCUUCUCCCUACUCUCUCCAUUUAAAGUUCCAUUGCCAAAGAAUCUUAUUUGAUCCUUGAAAACCAAGCCUCCAAAUAAAGUUUCAUUGCCAUUACUCUCUCCAUUUCAGUUUCACUGCCAAAGAAUCUUGUUCGAUCCUUGAAAACCAAGCCUCCAAAUAAAGUUCCAUUGCCAAGUGAUUUGAUUCCUUCUCUCUGCUCUCUCCAUUUAAAUUUCCACUGCCAAAGAAUCUUGUUCGAUCCUUGAAAACCAAGACUCCAAAUAAAGUUGCACUGCCAAGUGAUUUGAUUCAUUCUCUCUCUUUUCUCCAUUUAAAGUUCCACUGCCAAAGUAACAACUAAUUAAAUGUCUGUCUGGAACCUUGUUUGAUCUUUGAAAACCAAACACAGUACAGUUCCUCUCAAUCUUUUAUGUAUCUCAUCAUACAAUGAGCCUAUAAACUCCAAAAUAUUGAGAAGACCCAUUGGAUUAUACAAGUUUGAAGCAAUGGAGGCUGUUCGGGAUCAGGAGCAGCAAAGUCCACCGGUUGCCAGUCGAAACUGCGAAGAAACAGCGAUCAACCUAAGCGAUUGAAAACAGCAAAAGGGAAGAACAAGGAAGGAGACGAGUAGGUUUUUUUGUGCCUCAUAAAAGUUUUCGGAUAAGAAAAUUGAUAGGUUUAAAUAAAAUUAGAGUGAAGGAAGAGGAGAGAAAGAAGGAAUCAAAUCACUUCGCAGUGAAAUUUUAUUUGGAGGCUUGGUUUUCAAGGAUCAAACAAGAUUCUUUGGCAAUGGAACUUUAAAUGGAGAGAGGAGAGAGAAGGAAUCAAAUCAUUUGGUAGUGGAACUUUAUUUGAAGGAUUGGUUUUCAAGGAUCGAACAAGAUUAUUUGGCAAGGGAACUCUAAAUGGAGAAAGUAGAGAGAAGGAAUCAAAUCACUUGGCAAUGGAACUUUAUUUGAAGGCUUGGUUUUCAAGGAUCGAACAAGAUUAUUUGGCAAUGGAACUUUGAAUGGAGAGAGGAGAGAGAAGGAAUCAAAUCACUUAACCGUGGAACUUUAUUUGGAGGAUUGGUUUUCAAGGAUCGAACAAGAUUCUUUGGCAAUGGAACUUUAAAUGGAGAGAGUAGAGAGAAGGGAUCAAAUCACUUGACUAUGGAACUUUAUUUGGAGGCUUGGUUUUCAAGGAUCGAACAAGAUUCUUUGGCAGUGAACUUUAAAUGGAGAGAAGAGAGAGAAGGAAUCAAAUCACUUGGCAUUGGAACUUUAUUUGGAGGCUUGGUUUUAUUCUUUGGCAGUGGAACUUUAUUUGGAGGCUUGGUUUUCAAGGAUCAAACAAUAUUCUUUGGCAGUUGAACUUUAAAUGGAGAGAGUAGAGAAAAGAAAUUGAAUCACUUGGCGUGGAACUUUAUUUGGAGGCUUGAUUUUCAAGGAUCGAACAAGAUUUUUUGGUAGUGGAACUUUAAAUGAAGAGAAGGAAUCGCGCUUGAGACCUCAAACAAGAUUUUUUCACACACAUAAUCUUCUAAGAACAUUAUCUUAAAACAAGAAGGAUACUUCUAUGAUCUUUUUUCAAUUCCAUUUUGUUUCUUUACUUAAAAUGAAUAGAAGAAUGAUACUUCCAUAGUCCUUCACUUGCACCUAGGAUGUGAAGAGUGUGAAGUGUAUAUAGAAUAUGUGGGUGUAGAAAAUGUAAAGUGUAUAGUGUGAGUGUGGGGUGUGAGGGUAGUAUGGGAAGUGUAUGUGUGUAUUUAGAUAAAUUUUAAUUAAAAAAACAAAUGUGGGUGUAUUAAGUAUGUAUGGUGUAUUCAACAAAGUGGGGUGUUAAUAUAAAUUUAUUCUAUUUUAAUCGCAAUGUACUAACCGUGUCGUGUCUUUUAUUUUUUGAGAUUUGCAGUGUCGUCGUGUUCAUCGUAUUCAUGUCCGUGUCAAUCCGUGAGAGUCUAAAUAAAAAUUUUAAUCCUAGGAGGUAUAUUUGGAAGAAUGGAUUUGGAAGCAUAUAUUUGGAAGAAUAGAUGCAAGAAUUAAGCCUCCAAGUCCAAAUAAAGUUCCACACUUCACUGCUGUGUGAUUCCUUCUCCCUACUCUCUCCAUUGAAAGUUCCACUGUCAAAGAAUCUUGUUUGAUCCUUGAAAACCAAGUCUCCAAAUAAAGUUCCAUUGCUAAGUGAUUUGAUUCAUUUUCUCUACUCUCUCCAUUUAUAGUUCCAUUGCCAAAGAAUCUUGUUCGAUCCUUGAAAACCAAGCCUCCAAAUAAAGUUUCAUCGCCAAGUGAUUUGAUUCUUUCUCUCUACUCUCUCCAUUUAAAGUUCCACUGUCACAGAAUAUUGUUCGAUCCUUAAAAACCAAGCCUCCAAAUAAAAUUCCACUACCAAGUGAUUUGAUUCCUUCUCUCUACUCUCUCCAUUUAAAGUUGCACUGCCAAAGAAACAACUAAUUAAAUGUCUGUCUGGAACCUUGUUCGAUCGUUGAAAACCAAACACAGUACAGUUCCUUUUAAGUGCAAAAUAAAAACUUGAGACCUCAAGCGAGAAUCGAACAUUAUCUUCUAAGAACAUUAUCUUGAGGUCUCAAGGAUCGAACAAGUUUUUACAUCUUGAGGUCUCUAAGAACAUGGCACGUGGCUGAAGUUUGAUCCUCGCUUGAGGUCUCAAGUUUUUAUUUUGCACUUGACGUCUCAAGUUCAAUUUUCGCUUCAUAAUAUUGUUUGUACAAUAAAGAGCAAAAAAUAUGGGUGAAAUUUAGUUGUUCUUUUAUGAUCAAGGAGCCAGUCGAAACUGCGAAGAAACAGCGAUCAACCUAAGCAAUUGAAAACAGCAAAAGGAAAGAACAGUAUGGAAGGAGACGAGUAGGUUUUUUGUGCCUCAUAAAAGUUUUCGGAUAAGAAAAUUGAUAGGCUUAAAUAAAAUUAGAGUGAAGGAAUCCCGCGAAUCUAGUUUUCGACAUAAAAGUCGAAAGUCUCAAACGGAAUAAACCAAAGCUACCGGAGACGGAAUGAAGCAACCGAGCCAAUAGUAAAAGUUACAGCUGCAACUAAUCUCAGAAUGCUGAAGUUUGUGCUGAAAAUAUGGCAAGAGAGUCCAUAAGCACAGUGAUCAGCAGAUAUGAUGAUCAACCAAGAAUGGGGAAGAUGCGAGCCACGUGCUCUAAUGAACAGUGGCGAAGCCACGUGAGGGCGAGGAGUGGCGGUCGCCACUCCCCUCGCCGGGAAACACCAUUGGAGAUCUGGGUUCGCCAUUCCCCUAACCGGAAAACCCACUGGUUUCAUCCUCUGUUUUUGUUGCCGAUGAUGUUGGGUUCUCUGUUCUGCCACACAGCAGCAGCAUAUUAGCUCUUUUUUUUUUUUUAAAUCCAGGCCAAAACGACGUCGUUUUGGUCCUGUUAAAAAAAUUAAAAAUUUUUAAGUGAAACGGCGCCGUUUUGAAAAGAAAAAAAAUAUUAUAUAGGGGGGACCGCGUGCGUGUCGCCUUGUCCCCCACUCGUUUCCCCUUUACUUUCUUCUAUCCCUCUCGUAACCUGUUCACCAAUCAGACAGAGAGGUGAGGUCCCACUGCUUUCAAAAUCCCAGCAGCAGCCAACCAAGUUCCAACACCAACGGAACGGAAAUGUUUUCAAUUUCUGUUCCCGUUUGGCUUCUUGCUGCCAUCACAAGCCAUUCUCUAGCCAUUGAGCCAUCGGCUUCCAUUCUUUAAAGGACUUAGAUUCGUGGCAUACAAUUCCGGCAUCAAGGCAUUCCCGCAUCAGCAUCUUCGAGUCCUCUCGGUGUAGAAGCCAUCCUUUGUUCAUUCAAUUUUAUAUUUUUCCUUUUUAGUGUCUUGAAUUAGUCGUAUGCUCUAAACACGUUCCACAAUUGCAUAUUCAUUAUAUUUAAAUUUACAAGUUUUAUUUA